rnacentral:rRNA from 1 species
UGAAGGUUAACUCAGCCAACUGUUGGAUAUGUUGGUUCAAGCUUGUAGUCGUGCCUGGUAGGUAAAUCCGCCGGGCUUAGAUGAGGGGUGAUAACGAGGCUGCUUGCAGCCGAAGUGAGUGAUACCCUGCUUCCAGGAAAAGCCAAUAAGCUUCAGCUAUACACGACCGUACCGCAAACCGACACUGGUGCGCGAGAUGAGUAUUCUAAGGCGCUUGAGAGAACUCAGGAGAAGGAACUCGGCAAAUUGACACCGUAACUUCGGAAGAAGGUGUGCCUUUAGUAGGUGAAGGGAUUUACUCCUGGAGCCCAAUGAGGUUGCAAAAAAUCGGUGGCUGCGACUGUUUAUUAAAAACACAGCACUCUGCAAACACGAAAGUGGACGUAUAGGGUGUGACGCCUGCCCAGUGCUGGAAGAUUAAAUGAUGGGGUGCAAGCUCUUGAUUGAAGUCCCAGUAAACGGCGGCCGUAACGAUAACGGUCCUAAGGUAGCGAAAUUCCUUGUCGGGUAAGUUCCGACCUGCACGAAUGGCGUAACGAUGGCCACACUGUCUCCUCCUGAGACUCAGCGAAGUUGAAAUGUUUGUGAUGAUGCAAUCUCCCCGCGGAAAGACGGAAAGACCCCAUGAACCUUUACUGUAGCUUUGUAUUGGACUUUGAACAGAUCUGUGUAGGAUAGGUGGGAGGCUUUGAAGCAGGGUCGCUAGAUCUUGUGGAGCCAACGUUGAAAUACCACCCUGGUGUGUUUGAGGUUCUAACCUAGGUCCAUUAUCUGGAUCGGGGACAGUGCAUGGUAGGCAGUUUGACUGGGGCGGUCUCCUCCCAAAGCGUAACGGAGGAGUUCGAAGGUACGCUAGUUACGGUCGGACAUCGUGACGAUAGUGCAAUGGCAUAAGCGUGCUUAACUGCGAGACUGACAAGUCGAGCAGAUGCGAAAGCAGGACAUAGUGAUCCGGUGGUUCUGUAUGGAAGGGCCAUCGCUCAACGGAUAAAAGGUACUCUGGGGAUAACAGGCUGAUACCGCCCAAGAGUUCAUAUCGACGGCGGUGUUUGGCACCUCGAUGUCGGCUCAUCUCAUCCUGGGGCUGUAGCCGGUCCCAAGGGUAUGGCUGUUCGCCAUUUAAAGAGGUACGUGAGCUGGGUUUAAAACGUCGUGAGACAGUUUGGUCCCUAUCUUCCGUGGGCGCUGCAGAUUUGAGGAAGCCUGCUCCUAGUACGAGAGGACCGGAGUGGACACACCUCUGGUGUAUCGGUUGUCACGCCAGUGGCAUUGCCGAGUAGCUAAGUGUGGAAGAGAUAACCGCUGAAAGCAUCUAAGCGGGAAACUCGUUUCAAGAUGAGAUCUGCCGGGGCCUUGAGCCCCCUAAAGAGUCGUUCAAGACCAGGACGUUGAUAGGCAGGGUGUGGAAGCGCAGUAAUGCGUUAAGCUAACCUGUACUAAUUGCUCGUGCGGCUUGACCA